rnacentral:rRNA from 1 species
AUUGAACGCUGGCGGCAUGCUUUACACAUGCAAGUCGAACGGUAACAGGUUAAGCUGACGAGUGGCGAACGGGUGAGUAAUGCAUCGGAACGUGCCCGAUCGUGGGGGAUAACGCAGCGAAAGCUGCGCUAAUACCGCAUACGAUCUGAGGAUGAAAGCGGGGGACCGUAAGGCCUCGCGCGAUCUGAGCGGCCGAUGUCAGAUUAGGUAGUUGGUGGGGUAAAGGCCCACCAAGCCGACGAUCUGUAGCUGGUCUGGGAGGACGACCAGCCACACUGGGAAUAAGACACGGCCCAGACGCCUACGUGAGGAAGCAGUUGGGAAUUUUGGACAAUGGGGGAAAGCCGGAUCCAGCAAUGCGGCGUGCAGGAAGAAGUCUUUCGGGUUGUAAAUUGCUUUUGUACGGAGCGAAAAGGUCCUUUCUAAUACUUGGGGCUCUUGACGGUACCGUAAGAAUAAGCACCGGCUAACUACGUGCCAGCAGCCGCGUUAAUAC